GGCAUUGAACCAGAUUUAAACACCUCAUGUUUUUUUGAAAAAGGAACAACAUCCUCUUCUCUUCACGCUUUCUGAAUGUACUUCAUCGAUACACAUUAUAUGACUUGUUGCGGCCAAUCGCCUCGUCGCCCGAUCGCCGGGAAGCGUGCACCUGCAAAAGGAAGUCCGCACUGACCGGAGACGGCUCCGGCGGGGACCCN
rnacentral:lncRNA from 1 species